GUUCUUUUCAUUUUAAUUUUUUACCCCAAGUUUAUUAUGGUAAAAUAUAUGUAACAAAAUUUACCAUCUUAAUCAUUUUUAAGUGCACAGCUGAGUGGCAUUCAGUAUAUUCAUAUGGUUGUGCAAACAUCACCAGCAUCCAUCUCCAGAUCUCUUUUCAGCAUGCAAAAUUGAAACUCUAUGCCCGUUAAACAACAACUCAUUGCUCCCUUCCUGCUACCCCUGGCAACCAUCAUUCUACUUUCUGUCUCUAUGAUUUUGACUACUUUAAGUACUUCAUAAAAGUGGGAUCAUAUAGUAUUUGUUGUUUUGUGACUGGCUUAUUUCACUUAGCCUAAUGUCCUCAAGGUUCAUCCAUGUUGUAGCAUGCAUCAGAAUUUUCUUUCUUCUUCUUCUUCAUUUUUUUUUUCUUGUGGCAGGGUCUCAUUCUGUUGCCCAGGCUGGAGUGCAGCAGUAUGAUCUCGGUUCAGCGCAACAUCUGCCUCCCAGGUUCAAGCGGUUCUCCUGCCUCAGCCUCCUGAGGAGCUGGGAUUACAGGUGCUUGUCACCACGCCUGGCUAAUUUUUGUAUUUUUGGUAGAGAUGGGGUUUCACUAUGUUGGCCAGGCUGGUCUUGAACUCCUGACCUCAAGUGAUCUGCCUGCCUUGGCCUCCCAUAGGGCUGGGAUUACAGAUGUGAGGCACCAUGCCUGGCCUGAAUUUUCUUCCUUUUUAAGGCUGAAUAAUAUUCUUUUUUUUUUUUUUCUUUUUUGAGACCGAGUCUCACUCUGUUGCCCAGGCUGGGGUGCAGUGGCAUGAUCCUAAGGGUGUCCAGGUGGCUCUCACUAUAGUUUUGACUUGCAUUUCCAUAAUGAUUAGUAAGGCUGAGCAUCUUUGCAUGUGCUGAUUGGCCAUUUGUAUAUCUUCUUGGAGAAGUAUCAAAUAUCUAUUCAAGUCCUUCACCUGUUUUUGAAUUGAGCUGUUUGUAUUUUUGUUGUUGAGUUUUAGGAGUUCUCCAUAUAUUCUGGAUACUAAUCCCUUAUCAGAUAUAUGACGUGUAAAUAUAUUCUCAAAUUCUGUAGGCUUUCUAUUCCGUUGAUAGUGUCUUUUGAUAUAAAAUUUUUAAAUUUUCAUGAAGUCCAAUUUGUCUAUUUUUUUCUUUUGUUGCCUGUGCCUUUGGUGUCAUCACACAAAAUCACUGCCUAAUCCCAUGUUGUGAAGUUUUUGCCUUAUGUUUUCUUCUAAGAGUUUUAUAGUUUUAGGGCUUACAUUUAGGCCAUGGAUCUACUUUGAGCUAAAUUGUGCAUAUGGUAUUAGGUAAAGGUAAAAGUUCAUUAUUUUGCAUGUAAAUAUCUAGUUUUCUCAGCACCAUUUGUUGAAAAGACUGUCCUUUUCUUAUUGAAUAAUCAUGGUUCCCUUGCCAAAAAUCAUUUGACCAUAUAUUUGAAGAUUUAUUUCUGGAUUCUCUAUUGUAUUCAUUGGUCUUUAUGUGUGGUCUUUAUGCCACUACCACACUGUCUUAAUUACUAUUACCUAUUAUAAAUUUUUAAAUCAGUAAGUGUGAGUCCUCCAGCUUUGUUCUUCUCUUUUAGGAUUAUUUUGACUAUUUAGAGUUCCUUGAAAUUUCAUAUGAAUAUUAAGAUUUGUUUUCCUAUUUUUGCAAAAAAAAAAANNNNNNNNNNAAAAAAAAAAACCUCCUUGUUUGAUAGGAACCGCACUAAAUCUGUAGAUCACUUUGGGUAGUGUUGAAAUCUUAACAAUAUUAAGUCUUCCA
rnacentral:lncRNA from 1 species